AUUGAACGCUGGCGGCAGGCCUAACACAUGCAAGUCGAGCGGAUGAACGGAUCUUUCUCCUGUAUGCAUCGGCGGACGGGGGAGGAAUGCCUAGGAAUCUGCCUGGUUGUGGGGGAUAACGUCCUGAAACGGGCGCUGAUACCGCAUACGUGCUGAGUGAGAAAGUGGGGGAUGUUCGGACCUCACGCGAUCAUAUGAGCGUAGGUCGGAUUAGCUAGUUGGUGGGGUAAGGGCCUACCAAGGCGACGUUCCGUAACUGGUCUGGGAGGAUGAUCAGUCACACUAGAACUGAGACACGGUCCAGACUCCUACGGGAGGCAGCAGUGGGGAAUAUUGGACAACGGGCGGAAGAAUGAUCCAGCCAUGCCGCGUGUGUGAAGAAGGUCUUCGGAUUGUAAAGCACCUUAAGUUGGGAUGAAGGGCAGUAAGUUCAUACCUUGCUGUUUUGACGUUACCAGCAGAAUAAGCACCGGCUAACUUCGUG
rnacentral:rRNA from 1 species